rnacentral:lncRNA from 1 species
CUAGUUGUAGACACAUUGAUGUUGGUUCUAAAGUUGCAUGCUCAAGCUUUUUGUAGACUGAUGCUGGCAUCACACUGACACUUGCUCCGAGAUCACAAAGUGCAUUGUUGAAGUGUUGGUCUCCGAUCGAGCAAUCAAUAGUGGGGCAUCCGGGGUCUUCCUUCUUCUUUAGUGGUUUAUUGAGGAUAGCCGCACUACAUUCUUCUGUCAGCUUGAUAACCUCAGUGGUGGGCAGUGGUCUCUUCUUGUUA